AGUGAACGCUGGCGGUAGGCCUAACACAUGCAAGUCGAACGGCAGCACAGUAAGAGCUUGCUCUUACGGGUGGCGAGUGGCGGACGGGUGAGGAAUACAUCGGAAUCUACUUUUUCGUGGGGGAUAACGUAGGGAAACUUACGCUAAUACCGCAUACGACCUACGGGUGAAAGCAGGGGAUCUUCGGACCUUGCGCGAUUGAAUGAGCCGAUGUCGGAUUAGCUAGUUGGCGGGGUAAAGGCCCACCAAGGCGACGAUCCGUAGCUGGUCUGAGAGGAUGAUCAGCCACCCUGGAACUGGGACACGGUCCAGACUCCUGCGGGAGGCAGCAGUGGGGAAUAUUGGACAAAGGGCGCAAGCCUGAUCCAGCCAUACCGCGUGGGUGAAGAAGGCCUUCGGGUUGUAAAGCCCUUUUGUUGGGAAAGAAAAGCAGCAGGUUAAUACCCCGCUGUUCUGACGGUACCCAAAGAAUAAGCACCGGCUAACUUCGUG
rnacentral:rRNA from 1 species